rnacentral:rRNA from 1 species
AGCGUAGGCGGCAGUGCAAGUCGGGAGUGAAAACUUGGGGCUCAACCCCAAGACUGCUCUCGAAACUGUGCAGCUAGAGUGCAGGAGGGGCAGGCGGAAUUCCUGGUGUAGCGGUGAAAUGCGUAGAUAUCAGGAGGAACACCGGUGGCGAAGGCGGCCUGCUGGACUGUAACUGACGCUAAGGCUCGAAAGCGUGGGGAGCGAACAG